rnacentral:rRNA from 1 species
UACGUAGGGACCGAGCGUUGUCCGGAAUCAUUGGGCGUAAAGAGCGUGUAGGCGGCCUUUUAAGUCCUGCGUGAAAUCCUGCGGCUCAACCGCAGACGGUCGUGGGAAACUGGAAGGCUAGAGUGCGGGAGAGGAGAGUGGAAUUCCCGGUGUAGCGGUGAAAUGCGCAGAUAUCGGGAAGAACACCCGUGGCGAAGGCAGCUCUCAGGAACGCAACUGACGCUGAGACGCGAAAGCGUGGGGAGCAAACAGG